GAAUAUUAAUAGUCGAAGCUUUGCUAUUUGCAAAGCGCGGGGGACCCAAUUGUAAUGGGGCGAAUUCCUUAUUUGUAAGGAUAGAGCACUCAUAAGCUCGAGCCCGUCAGCUAACCUCGUAGACUUUUAUGGGGUGUGUU
rnacentral:sRNA from 2 species